CCUGGUGGUCAUGGCGGGGCGGCCGCACCCGUUCCCAUUCCGAACACGGCCGUGAAACGCCCCAGCGCCAAUGGUACUUCGUCUCAAGACGCGGGAGAGUAGGUCGCUGCCAGGUCUUUUAAAGGCAAUGCCACAUGAAAAUGUGGAUCGAAAAUCUUCUCAAUACGAAACCUAAGGCCCCUGGCCAAACUCAAGGGCCGCCCCAAAGCGGCCUUUCGUCGUUCAA
rnacentral:rRNA from 1 species